UCUCCGUUGGUGAACCAGCGGAGGGAUCAUUACUGAGUUACCGCUCUACAACCCUUUGUGAACAUACCGAACUGUUGCUUCGGCGGGCAGAGGUCCCUCGCGGAUCUCUCCCGGCAACGCCCUCACGGGCGGAGCGCCCGCCGGAGGAUACCAAACUCUAUUUUAACGACGUUUCUUCUGAGUGGCACAAGCAAAUAAUUAAAACUUUUAACAACGGAUCUCUUGGUUCUG
rnacentral:misc_RNA from 1 species